GGGUUGUGAGGUUAAGCGACUAAGCGUACACGGUGGAUGCCCUGGCAGUCAGAGGCGAUGAAGGACGUGCUAAUCUGCGAUAAGCGUCGGUAAGGUGAUAUGAACCGUUAUAACCGGCGAUUUCCGAAUGGGGAAACCCAGUGUGUUUCGACACACUAUCAUUAACUGAAUCCAUAGGUUAAUGAGGCGAACCGGGGGAACUGAAACAUCUAAGUACCCCGAGGAAAAGAAAUCAACCGAGAUUCCCCCAGUAGCGGCGAGCGAACGGGGAGGAGCCCAGAGCCUGAAUCAGUGUGUGUGUUAGUGGAAGCGUCUGGAAAGGCGCGCGAUACAGGGUGACAGCCCCGUACACAAAAAUGCACAUGCUGUGAGCUCGAUGAGUAGGGCGGGACACGUGGUAUCCUGUCUGAAUAUGGGGGGACCAUCCUCCAAGGCUAAAUACUCCUGACUGACCGAUAGUGAACCAGUACCGUGAGGGAAAGGCGAAAAGAACCCCGGCGAGGGGAGUGAAAAAGAACCUGAAACCGUGUACGUACAAGCAGUGGGAGCAUGCUU
rnacentral:rRNA from 1 species